rnacentral:lncRNA from 1 species
UAGCUUCUGGGUUAUGUAAUUCGUAUGUGGUUCUUGGAUAUUUAUAGCUCUGGGGUUGGUAUUUAAGAAGGUUUGUAUUUUGUAAAUAUUUUCUAUGUAUGUUCGGGCUGUAUAGUUGUAGGUCUUUUUGUCUUGGUUUAAACUAUCUUGGUAUGUGGUAAUUUAUGGGGGUAUGAACAUAGGAUCUUUUGGUGUAUUUGGAAUAAAUGGUUUAUCAAAUAGCCUGUUUAGGUUCAUAUGUGUGUUUCUCGUAACUCCUUUACUUGUACCU